rnacentral:rRNA from 1 species
GCGGGCCCUACAACUUGCAAGUUCGAACGGUAGCACAGAGAGCUUGCUCUCGGGUGACGAGUGGCGGACGGGUGAGUAAUGUCUGGGAAACUGCCUGAUGGAGGGGGAUAACUACUGGAAACGGUAGCUAAUACCGCAUAACGUCGCAAGACCAAAGUGGGGGACCUUCGGGCCUCUUGCCAUCGGAUGUGCCCAGAUGGGAUUAGCUUGUAGGUGAGGUAACGGCUCACCUAGGCGACGAUCCCUAGCUGGUCUGAGAGGAUGACCAGCCACACUGGAACUGAUACACGGUCCAGACUCCUACGGGAGGCAGCAGUGGGGAAUAUUGCACAAUGGGCGCAAG